GACGAACGCUGGCGGCGUGCUUAACACAUGCAAGUCGAACGGAAAGGCCUCUUUCGGGGGGUACUCGAGUGGCGAACGGGUGAGUAACACGUGAGUAACCUGCCCUUGACUUUGGGAUAACUUCAGGAAACUGGGGCUAAUACCGGAUAGGAGCUCCUGCUGCAUGGUGGGGGUUGGAAAGUUUCGGCGGUUGGGGAUGGGCUCGCGGCUUAUCAGCUUGUUGGUGGGGUAGUGGCUUACCAAGGCUUUGACGGGUAGCCGGCCUGAGAGGGUGACCGGCCACAUUGGGACUGAGAUACGGCCCAGACUCCUACGGGAGGCAGCGGUGGGGAAUAUUGCACAAUGGGUGGAAGCCUGAUGCAGCAACGCCGUGUGCGGGAUGACGGCCUCCGGGUUGUAAACCGCUUUCGCUCAUGACGAAGCUUUGUGUGACGGUAGUGGGUAAAGAAGCACCGGCUAACUACGUG
rnacentral:rRNA from 1 species